rnacentral:lncRNA from 1 species
GCGUAAUUAUUACAUUUUUAUAUGAAAAAUAGAGUAAAUAUAAAUUAAACAAAGUAUAACAUGCGUAGUUUUGAUUAAAUUAAUUUUCUUUAAUAUUAAAUAUAAAAAAAGAAGAUGUGGUAUGACUGCAAUUGAGACAACACUCCACAAGAGACCUAAUGACACAGAAAUAAAUAAGUCACCGUCAAAGCGCAUACGAACAGUCAGCUAUAAAAGUCUUUUAAUAGUAGUUGGUAAUGUGUUGUUUUAGUUGAUAGUACUGUAAACCAACUUAUUUUCGCGAGCGAUUUAUU